UCGAGAAUCAUUCGCAAUGGGCGAAAGCCUGACGAUGCGACGCCGUGUGAGCGAUGAAGGCCUUCGGGUCGUAAAGCUCUUUCGCUUGGGAACAAGAGAGGCCGGCUAAUAUCCGGCUCAUUUGAGGGUACCAGGUAAAGAAGCACCGGCUAACUCCGUGCCAGCAGCUGCGGUAAUACGGAGGGUGCAAGCAUUAAUCGGAUUUAUUGGGCGUAAAGGGCGCGUAGGCCGAAUGAUAAGUCAGGUGUGAAAUCCCGGGGCUCAACCCCGGAACAGCAUUUGAAACUGUCAUUCUAGAGGGUAGGCGGAGAAAACGGAAUUCCACAAGUAGCGGUGAAAUGCGUAGAUAUGUGGAAGAACACCGGUGGCGAAGGCGGUUUUCUAGCUUAUUCCUGACGCU
rnacentral:rRNA from 1 species